UCGGACCAGAGUAGCACACAGUAAGCUCUUGCAUUUCCAGUCUGAAACUUCUCAGACGGUCUUCGAAAUCAUCCGCAAUCUUCUCUUCUUCUGAUACUUCAUCUGAGGAGCUACUCAUCUUUCGACAGAUGCCAUUAUCCUCCGACAUAGCACCCUUUCCUCUCUUAUCGUUCUUCAAGAUAAUCGGUGUGCUUGUCAACUUAUUUACAUGUCGAUUUCCCAAAUCUCCCGUACCAAUAGUCAAGAACCUGCUACGAUUAGCUUCAGG
rnacentral:misc_RNA from 1 species